AGCACCCAAAGUGAGCAAAAGAAUAGAGUGACACAAUGACAUAGAUCGAGUGGCAUUCGAUAAAGCUAAUGUGAAAUGACACUAGAGUUAGUGUGAUGUAAAGAACUAAAGUGAUGUAAAGAAUGAAGAAAGUGACAAAGUGUAAAGUUAAAGUAAAGUGGGCAAUAAGAACAAGAAUGCUAGAGUUAGCAAGAGUAAUGAAAAUGUAAAGAAUGUGAUUGCAUGAGCUUGCAACAUAAAGUGAUGUAAAGAACACUAGAGCUAGUGUAAAGUCAAGAUUGAACUUAUAAUCCUUUAAGUUAAGGAUAUGAUCAUACUUGCUAUGAGUUCCGUGCUCGAGGGCGGUCGCUCCCCCUCGGGCGAUGCGCUCCGGAGUUAUGCAUCCGGGUUGGAGUAAACCCGAAAGGACGGUCCUAGCUGGUGAGUUCCUGCGAUGAUGGACUUAAUGUGAAGCAAGUUAAUGUGGCGAAGCCCCCGGGCUAGCCUUAAUGAUUAAAGAGCAAAGAGUAAAGAACAAAGAGUAAAGAACAAAGUGUAAAGUGCAAAGAACUAAAGAACAUGCAUAACUUCCAUUUAUUUAAUGUUGAGCAUAUUUCUUGCUUUUGUUCAGGCAUAUUAGCAUCAUGUUAUAGAUUGGUUACUGUAUCUUACUUAUCCUUUCUAUUAUGCCUGAGUUAGUCCUAGUGGGAAAGUCGGUGAUGUUGAGGCCGAACCCACUGGGAACUUUGUUGUAGUUCUCACCCCACUAUUUCCACAGAGCCGGGACCGAGCGAGCCGGCGAGCGACCGAGGUAAAGGAAUCGCGCCUUAGUCAGAGGCCACCGAUGUUGGGUUUCGUUUUGUAGUAAAGUACCCUAUGUUCAUCUUUUGUACUUGAUGAUUAGUAAUGUAAGGAAGAGAAUGUAAAGCUCAUUUUGAGGUAAAUGUAAUGUAAGAAAGAAACGAUGAAAUGAUGUAAUGAAUGUAAGAAUUCGAUAAAUUACUAGAUGGAUGCAAUGUAUAUGAUCUAAAAUGAAUCAUAAUACUUGUG
rnacentral:lncRNA from 1 species